rnacentral:rRNA from 1 species
AUUGAACGCUGGCGGCAGGCCUAACACAUGCAAGUCGAACGAGUGGCGGACGGGUGAGUAAUGUCUGGGAAACUGCCCGAUGGAGGGGGAUAACUACUGGAAACGGUAGCUAAUACCGCAUACCAUCGGAUGUGCCCAGAUGGGAUUAGCUAGUAGGUGGGGUAAGGGCUCACCUAGGCGACGAUACCUAGCUGGUCUGAGAGGAUGACAGGCCAAACUGGAACGUAGAAACGGCCCAGACCCCUACGGAAGGCAGCAGUGGGGAAUUUUGCACAAGGGGCGCAAGCCUGAUGCAGCAAUGCCGCGUGUAUGAAGAAGGCCUUCGGGUUGUAAAGUACUUUCAGCGAGGAGGCGUUACUCGCAGAAGAAGCACCGGCUAAUCCCGUGCCAGCAGCCGCGGUAUUC